rnacentral:rRNA from 1 species
AUGAGAACUUCCAAGGCCUUGGAUCUUGUUGAUCUCUCGAUUAAGCUUGUUCAAAUAGGGAGACACAUAGUUCAUCAUUUGAUGUACUUGCUUUUAAAAUUGGUAUUGAUUCUACCAGUGGCAACGGCAAAUGUUGAGAGAGCAUUUUCUGCCAUGAGUAUAGUCAAGAGCAAGUUGAGAAAUAAGAUGGGUGAUAGUCUUUUGGAUGAUUGCCUAGUUACAUACAUUGAGAGGGGUGCUUACACCAAGUCACCACAAAUCCAAUCAGACCCUUAG